UGCGAAAGCGUGGGGAGCAAACAGGAUUAGAUACCUGGUAGUCACGCUGUAAACGAUGUCGAUUUCGAGGUUGUUCCCUUGAGGAGUGGCUUCCGGAGCUAACGUGUUAAAUCGACCGCUGGGGAGUACGGCCGCAAGGUUAAAACUCAAAUGAAUUGACGGGGGCCCGCACAAGCGGUGGAGCAUGUGGUUUAAUUCGAUGCAACGCGAAGAACCUUACCUACUCUUGACAUCCAGAGAAUUUAGCAGAGAUGCUUUAGUGCCUUCGGGAACUCUGAGACAGGUGCUGCAUGGCUGUCGUCAGCUCGUGUUGUGAAAUGUUGGGUUAAGUCCCGCAACGAGCGCAACCCUUAUCCUUUGUUGCCAGCACAUUAUGGUGGGAACUCAAAGGAGACUGCCGGUGAUAAACCGGAGGAAGGUGGGGAUGACGUCAAGUCAUCAUGGCCCUUACGAGUAGGGCUACACACGUGCUACAAUGGCGUAUACAAAGAGAAGCGACCUCGCGAGAGCAAGCGGAACUCAUAAAGUACGUCGUAGUCCGGAUUGGAGUCUGCAACUCGACUCCAUGAAGUCGGAAUCGCUAGUAAUCGUAGAUCAGAAUGCUACGGUGAAUACGUUCCCGGGCCUUGUACACACCGCCCGUCACACCAUGGGAGUGGGUUGCAAAAGAAGUAGGUAGCUUAACCUUCGGGAGGGCGCUUACCACUUUGUGAUUCAUGACUGGGGUGAAGUCGUAACAAGGUAACCA
rnacentral:rRNA from 1 species